rnacentral:rRNA from 1 species
AGAGUUUGAUUAUGGUUUAGAUUGAAUGCUGGCGGUAUGCUUAACACAUGCAAGUCGAACGGUAACAGCGGAAGCUUGCUUCCGGCUGACGAGUGGCGGACGGGUGAGUAACGCGUGGGAAUCUGCCUACUAGCGGGGGAUAGCCUGGAGAAAUCCGGAUUAAUACCGUAUAUGCCCUUAGGGGGAAAGCUGGGGAUUUUUGGACCUGGCACUAGUAGAUGAGCCCGCGUUGGAUUAGUUAGUUGGUGGGGUAAUGGCCUACCAAGGCGACGAUCCAUAGCUGUUCUGAGAGGAAGAUCAGCCACACUGGGAUUGAGACACGGCCCAGACUCCUACGGGGGGUAGUAGUGGGGAAUAUUGCACAAUGGGCGCAAGCCUGAUGUAGCAAUACCGCGUGUGUGAAGAAGGUUUGAGGGUUGUAAAGCACUUUUAAUAGUGAAGAAAAGCUCAUGGUUAAUAUCCGUGGGUUUUGAUGUUAUUUAUAUAAGAAGCACCGGUUAACUCCGUGUUAGUAGUUGUGGUAAUACGGAGGGUGCAAGUGUUAAUUGGAAUCACUGGGCGUAAAGCGUGCGUAGGCGGUUUACUAAGUCAGAUGUGAAAGCCCCGGGUUUAAUCUGGGAAUUGCAUUUGAUACUGGUAGGCUAGAGUAUGAUAGAGGGGGGUAGAAUUUUUGGUGUAGUGGUGAAAUGUGUAGAUAUUAGGAGGAAUAUUAGUGGUGAAGGUGGCCCCCUGGAUCAAUACUGACGCUGAGGUACGAAAGCGUGGGUAGUGAAUAGGAUUAGAUAUCCUGGUAGUCCACGCCGUAAACGAUGAGAACUAGCCGUUGGGGUUUUGAGGCCUCGGUGGCGCAGUUAACGCGUGAAGUUCUCCGCCUGGGGACUACGGCCGCAAGGCUAAAACUCAAAUGAAUUGACGGGGGCCCGCACAAGCGGUGGAGCAUGUGGUUUAAUUUGAUGCAAUGUGAAGAAUCUUACCACCCCUUGACAUCCUCGGAAUUUGUCAGAAAUGACUUGGUGCCUUCGGGAACCGAGUGACAGGUGCUGCAUGGCUGUCGUCAGCUCGUGUUGUGAGAUGUUGGGUUAAGUUUUGUAAUGAGCGUAACCCUUGUCCUUAGUUGCCAUCAGUUCGGCUGGGAACUCUAAGGAGACUGCCGGUGAUAAACCGGAGGAAGGUGGGGAUGACGUCAAGUCAUCAUGGCCCUUAUGGGGUGGGCUACACACGUGCUACAAUGGUCGGUAUAAAGGGUUGUUAAGUUGUAAGGUGGAGUUAAUUUUAUAAAGCCGAUCGUAGUCCGGAUUGGGGUCUGUAAUUUGACCCCAUGAAGUCGGAAUCGCUAGUAAUCGCGAAUUAGAAUGUUGCGGUGAAUACGUUCCCGGGCCUUGUACACACCGCCCGUCACACCAUGGGAGUGGGCUGCAAAAGAAGUAGGUAGCUUAACCUUCGGGAGGGCGCUUACCACUUUGUGGUUCAUGACUGGGGUGAA